CCUUCUAUCUCAGUUUUUCUUUU
rnacentral:snRNA from 1 species